rnacentral:antisense_RNA from 3 species
CUCUAUGGCGGUUGUGCGCGGGACACCCUCGGGUGUGCCGGUUCCUACGUCCCGGUCGACCAACCCGCGCACAGCUGCCUCCUAU